CUGCUCGGCCCGGUACGGCUCGGUGCGGUACCAAAUUUGAUCAAGUUUAGCUGUUACUAGCACUGGCAAUACAGCUCGUUGUUUGUGAGUCAGCUCGUGGUCGGCUUAAUAUGAGUUUGAGACCGAUCGCUUGUUUAAUAAACGAGCCAAGCACGAGUUAGGAUAAGCUUACUCGUGUUUGAUUGGAUAUAGCUCGAAUAUAACCACGACUCGUUACGAGCUAGAGAUCGAUUGCUCGUUUAAUAAACGAGUCGAAUAUGAGCUGGGGUUAGGUCGCUUGUAUUCUGUUUCAUAUAACUAAAUGUAUAUAUAAAUUUGUACUAUUCGGAUUUUAGGCCAACCCACAUGUAAAGAGACCAACAUUGUGAAUUUAAAUUAUUAAAUUAAGAUUCUAGUUUUCUAAUUUUCUUUCAACUUUUCACCUGGUAGUAGGACUGAUAAUCUGGCUUACUAUUCGCGAGUCAGAUCAUGUUCAACUCGUCAAUAAAUAAGCCGAACGCAAGUUAAAUUUUUUAACUCGAUAUUUUAAUGAGCUUGCUUGUAUUUGGCUCAUUGACAGUCCUACUCGUUACUGAAAUAUCAAGCAAAGCACAACAAACUCGUGUUCGACUAAACAUUCAUUGGCUUCAACUCUGCUCGCUCAUUUUAAAUAAACACAAGCCAAUCACGAGCUCACUUUUUUCGCUAAACAUAAAAAAAAAAAAAAAAAAAAAAAAAAAGAAGAAGCCAAACACAACUCAAACUAUACUUGUGUUUGGCUGGAGAUAGCUCGAAAAUGAAUAAAUAAUAUAUGUAAAUACUAGUUUUAAAUUCUAAUAAUAACCAAUAACAAUCAUCAACAAAAAUAAAAUUAACAAUAAUAUUAUUUAUAAUUACUAUUAAUAUUUUAUUGAACUUUGAUAUCUUAAUAUUUUAAAAAUUUCCUCAUA
rnacentral:lncRNA from 1 species